UACGUAGGUGUCGAGCGUUGUCCGGAUUUAUUGGGCGUAAAGAGCCCGCAGGCGGCUUGGCAAGUUUGAGGUGAAAUCUCCCGGCUUAACUGGGAGGGGGCCUCGAAAACUGCCAGGCUUGAGGCAUGGAGAGGGAUGCGGAAUUCCCGGGUGUAGCGGUGAAAUGCGUAGAUAUCGGGAGGAACACCUGUGGCGAAAGCGGCUCACUGGACCACAACUGACGCUGAGGCGCGAAAGCUAGGGGAGCAAACAGGG
rnacentral:rRNA from 1 species